UCAUAUCAUCUAAUACAAUUAGUCUCCUAUUCGAUUUCACAAAUCCUAACAUCAUUGCAUAUAAUUUCUACGAAUUCCUUCGAUUAAAAUCCCAAUUUCGUUCAUCUAACAUUUCACCAUUUUCAGCAUAUUAUUAGUUAAUAAGGUUCAGACCCCUUACCUCUUUGGAUUGAAGGAAGCUCUGAGCAAUCUUUGGCCUUUUCCUCUUCCUUCUUUUUCUCUUCCGCGUUUCCCUUUCCCUCUGACUCUGAGACACAAUACGUGAAAAACCAACUCUGAGUUCUCCCUUUGGCCUCUUAUCAAAUUUCCACUUUUA
rnacentral:lncRNA from 1 species